rnacentral:rRNA from 1 species
GACGAACGCUGGCGGCGUGCUUAACACAUGCAAGUCGUACGGUAAGGCCCUUUCGGGGGUCCACGAGUGGCGAACGGGUGAGUAACACGUGAGUAACCUGCCCACAACUUUGGGAUAACGCUAGGAAACUGGUGCUAAUACUGGAUAUGUGCUCCUGCUGCAUGGUGGGGGUUGGAAAGCUCCGGCGGUUGUGGAUGGACUCGCGGCCUAUCAGCUUGUUGGUGGGGUAGUGGCCUACCAAGGCGGCGACGGGUAGCCGGCCUGAGAGGGUGACCGGCCACAUUGGGCCUGAGAUACGGCCCAGACUCCUACGGGAGGCAGCAGUGGGGAAUAUUGCACAAUGGGCGCAAGCCUGAUGCAGCAACGCCGCGUGCGGGAUAACGGCCUUCGGGUUGUAAACCGCUUUCAGCAGGGACGAAGCUUUUUGUGACGGUACCUGCAGAAGAAGCACCGGCUAACUACGUG